GAUGAACGCUGGCGGCGUGCCUAAUACAUGCAAGUCGAGCGAACAGACGAGGAGCUUGCUCCUCUGACGUUAGCGGCGGACGGGUGAGUAACACGUGGAUAACCUACCUAUAAGACUGGGAUAACUUCGGGAAACCGGAGCUAAUACCGGAUAAUAUAUUGAACCGCAUGGUGCAAUAGUGAAAGACGGUUUUGCUGUCACUUAUAGAUGGAUCCGCGCCGCAUUAGCUAGUUGGUAAGGUAACGGCUUACCAAGGCAACGAUGCGUAGCCGACCUGAGAGGGUGAUCGGCCACACGGGAACUGAGACACGGUCCAGACUCCUACGGGAGGCAGCAGUAGGGAAUCUUCCGCAAUGGGCGAAAGCCUGACGGAGCAACGCCGCGUGAGUGAUGAAGGUCUUCGGAUCGUAAAACUCUGUUAUUAGGGAAGAACAAAUGUGUAAGUAACUAUGCACGUCUUGACGGUACCUAAUCAGAAAGCCACGGCUAACUACGUG
rnacentral:rRNA from 1 species